GCUUGUUGGUGUUGACGUAGGACUUGAGGUGGAACUUGUUGGUGUUGACGUGGGACUUGAGGUGGAACUUGUUGGUGUUGAGGUGGGACUUGAGGUGGAACUUGUUGGUGUUGACGUGGGACAAACACUCAGCCUAACACUUCUUGUUUGUAUAUGAAAUGGUCCUGACCUUGGACCUGACCCUAACCCCAGGACCUGAUAGUGUUUCCCUGAGGUUCUAAGUCUUUCUCUGUGUUCAGGUAUCGACCCGCCCAGAGAGUCGUUUAACCGCUGGCUGCUGGAGAGGAAAGUGAUCGACAAAGGUCAGGACACUUUCCUGCCGAGUGACUGCGACCCGGUCAUCUCGCCCUCCAUGUUCAGAGAGGUCAUGAACGACAUUCCCAUCAGAUUGGCCCGUAUUAAAUACAAAGAGGAGGCCCGGAAGCUUCUGUUUAAAUACGCUGAAGCCGCCAAGAAGAUGAUCGACUCCAGGAAUGCCAGUCCGGAGAGCAGGAAGGUGGUGAAGUGGAACGCCGAAGACACCAUGAGCUGGCUGCGCCGAGAUCACUCCGCCAGCAAGGAGGACUACAU